GUGCUCACUUUGGCAGCACAUAUGCUAAAAUUGGAACGAUACAGAGGAGACUAGCAUGGCCCCUGUGUGAGGAUGACAUGCAAAUUUGUGAAGUGUUCCAUAUUUUU